AGAAGACAGAAGCCAGACUAGACCAGAGACCAAGACUGGAGAACAGAGUGGAGACCAGAUGAGUCCAGACCAGAGAAGAGCUGAGGGGGCAGCCGACAUCGCAAACUGACAAAAAAAAAAAAGAUAAAUAUAUUUUAUCCUUAAUUUCAUCCCCAAUUGUUUCACUGUAAAAUUGUUUCAGUCGGAGUCUUCAGUGGUGUUAUAACUUUUCUUUUUCCUCUUAUGUGAUUUGUCUUGUACAGAGAAGACAGAAAACCAGUCCAGACCAGAUACCAGCUGAGGGGGCAGCAUACCUUACAAGCCAUCUUUAAAAAAUAACGUAAGUUUUUCCCAUGCCAUAUUUUUUUUGUUGUUUUGAUCAAAAUUACUUCACUGUAAAUAUUAUUUUAAAAUUGUCUUCACUUGUUAACUUCUUUUGUCGCCCACAUUAUUUGUCCUUUACAGAAAGGAAACAAGUCUAGACCAGACUGGAGGUGUAUAGAUGAUGUCUGAAAUCAGCGUGUUCGUUUUUGUGGUCAGUUGGACUGGAACAUGAAGCUGUGGUGGCCUCACUGUGAAGCUCUCAUCGCCUACCUGAUGACCUACAGUCACACUAAGAGACCAGAGCUGCUGGAGAGAUUCUCUCAGGUGUAUGAGUACACCUUCAGUCACGUGAGUUAUUACUGAGGGAAACGUACCCGAGGAAAAAUCUCAUGCUACACCUCUGAAGUGUUAAAUGUCAACAAACGACCGUCAUGAUGACUUGUAACUUAUGAAGCCUCACUUAAGAAGCACUGAAAUAUUCCUUUAAUGUUCAUAUUGUAGAAACAUUGGGUAGAAUAGAAAAGAAAAGAAGUUGUAGAGAAGAAAAAAGAUGUUAAAAUAGACGAAAAAGAGAUGCCAAAAAUAGAAUAGCAGAGACUAGUAAUGGGAGUGUGCUACAUAACCGUGCAAGAUUAACGAAGACAGGGCCCAUAUCUUCUUAACGGUAAGACAAUGUGUAAAUUAGUGACUAAUGUGAACGUCUAGCUCAAAAAGGAUAGUCGAAUUCGGGGCGUGGAAAGAAAAAGUGAGGAGUAAAACCCGGAGCCCAGGGUAAUUGGCAAAUAAAUGAUGAAAAGAGAUAAAGAGUAAAAGAGACAAAGUGAAAAAGAGAAAAAGGCUGAGAUGGCCCAGGAAUAGAGAAGAAAAAGGCUGAGAUGGCCGAAAAAGAGAAAAAGUUAACUUAAUGUUAGGGACGACGCGAUUGGGCAUACAAACCGGUGAGGACAGUUUAAAGAAGGAAAAAAGGCCUAUAUACUAUAGUAAGGAAACACUGAGCUCAGUGAGAAGAGGUGUGCUGAAAUUUGAGUGCGUGAGAGAAGCUUCUGGUGUGUGUGUGUGCGUGCGUGCGUGCGUGCGUGCGUGCGUGCGUGCGUGCGUGCGUGCGUGCGUGCGUGCGUGCGUGCGUGCGCGCGCGUGUGUGUGUGUGUGUGUGUACACAAAGUUGGGGAAUGAUCUAGCAUAGGUUUAAGUGAUUAACUUAUGAUAAAGUGAUAAAUGAUGUCUUAUUAAAUAUAUAAUGAUAUGAUAUAAGAAAUUACCGUAUAAGGGAAGAGAUACUGUUGCCUUUGUAGUGCUAAAAAAAACAUAUGAGCCCUGGUUUCUUUGUACAGGGACGUUAAUAGAAUAGGUAACUGCUAUGAGCCUCUCAGGAUAAAGAGGACGUUUGUACACCUAAUAGUAAGAAAUGAGCCCCUUAUUAGAUGAGGAGGACUUUGGAUGGUGAUAACAUGCUCGAUUAAAAUGACAAUUAAAGAAGUGUACACAAGCACAUUUUUGUUCAUACAGAUACAGGAAAAAACAGAGUGAAAGAUUGGAAUGAUUUGCUGACUGAUGGGUGUGGUUUCCCUCUGUGUGUGUGUGAAUAUUUAAAGUGAAUGGUCACUUGCUGAUGAUCAUGUUUAGAGGGAAGUCCUAGUUAAAAAUUGGAAAAAUCCAGGAAGCUUUUCCUCCCUCUUUCUUUCUCUUCUUACAGGCCUGAGAACAGAAAGAAAGCUAAAAAAUCUAGUUUAACUAUCCUAGUUGCGUGAAAAUUUUAAAUGAUAUACCAUGAUAAGGGGAUUGGGGUAUAAUAAAUUUAGGUAGUCUUAUGGUAGAAGAAAUCUUUAAAUAGUGGUAGUAAACGUUUUAAAUUGUAUUGAAUGAAGUGAUUGUAAUGUACUAAACAUUUGAUUUGUCUUUUGUCCCUAACUCUGAUGCAUGAGCGGGGAGAGGAGAAUGAAAGGAGUCUGACGUUGGAGCUCCCAUGAGACAGAUAAGAAGAUAAAUGGCUGUGCUGCAAACAAGAGAGGGCUUGCGGAUGAGAGGCUCACCAGGUCCUGCUCCCAUUUGACAGGCCAGUACAGUUUUGUCUACAAACUCUUCUCCGAUGUGUCUGCUGCUACUUAGUUGUACAUACACACAUUAAUAGUGGGAACACAUUUAGUUGGGUGUUUAUAUUUGUUAGUGCUAGACAAUAAGAGCAGUAGUUUUGUUGGUAAAAAGAAAGGCUUGGCAAUAGAAAUAUUGCAUAACCAGAUUUAUUAACCCAGUCUGUUAAUGUUCACUUUUAAUUCAUAGAUGAUUGAACCAAAAAAAUAGUAAUUUACUUUUUUAUCUUUGGAUUUACUGAGAAAACUGUUCUGCUCACAGCUGUGGUCAAUUUACUCAUGUUGUAUUUUAUUUGUCAUUUCAUUUUAGAGAGGAGAUGAAACCAGACCAGAUGAUAGCAGACCAGACCAGAGAGGAGCUGAGGGGGCAGCCUGCAUCACAAACUAUCUUCAAAAGAAAGGUAAAUUUUUUUUUUUUAAAUUCCUCCUUAUUUACUGGUAACUGUUACAUUAUUUUACAAGUAUCUGAAAAUUUUAAUUAACCUUCCCUUUUUUUCUCUCCAAGUUAUUUGUCUGUUAUAGAAAUGAAACAAGCCUAGACCAAACUGGAGAAGACCAGAGUGGACCAGAUGAUAGCAGACCAGACCAGAGAGGAGCUGAGGGGACAGCCUGCAUCGCAAACCAUCUUUAAAAAAAAGAUACAUUAACUUUAUUCUAAUAUAUUAUUCUAAUUCAUUUCCGGAUGUAUUUUUAAAUUUAGGAUUCAAAUGUUAGUAUUUAAGGUUAAGUAAUGCUUCUACUAUUACAAUUACUUAUACUUUUACUCUGGAAUUUAUUUGUGUGUCAUAUAGUGGAGAAGACAGAAACCAGACUAGACCAGAGACCAAGACUGGAGAACAGAGUGGAGACCAGAUGAGUCCAGACCAGAGAAGAGCUGAGGGGGCAGCCGACAUCGCGAACUGACAAAAAAAAAAAAAGAUAAAUAUAUUUUAUCCUUAAUUUCAAUCACAAUUGUUUUACUGUACAAUUGUUUCAGUUGGAGUCUUCAGUGGUGUUAUAACUUUUCUUUUUCCUCUUAUGUGAUUUGUCUUGUACAGAGAAGACAGAAAACCAGUCCAGACCAGAUACCAGCUGAGGGGGCAGCAUACCUUACAAGCCAUCUUUAAAAAAUAACGUAAGUUUUUCCCAUGCCAUAUUUUUUUUUUGUUUUGAUCAAAAUUACUUCACUGUAAAUAUUAUUAUUUCAAAAUUGUCUUCACUUGUUAACUUCUUUUGUCUCCCACAUUAUUUGUCCUUUACAGAAAGGAAACAAGUCUAGACCAGACUGGAGGUGUAUAGAUAAUGUCUGAAACCAGCGUGUUCGUUUUUGUGGUCAGUUGGA